AUUUUACUACAUUUGCUGUCACAGAGCUGUGUUUCGUGCCCUUUAUCGAUCCAUCAAUCUGUCAUAUUUAUUCUGCUGCAUUCCAAACAGCCCUUUACCCCCGACCACUUCAGCAGGCAUAUUAUCAGCUCGAGUUCAAUACUUGCUCAUGGUUCUUUUCUUAAAGCUAAAGUUUACAUUCAGUAAAAGGUACAGAUCCUACGAGUACCAUUUAACGCCUUCAGACAAACGCCCUCCAAACCCCUGCCAGGAUAUGGAACGUGAUGAUCACCCAGAAAGUGGCCCUUCCUGCCUGUUCUCACCCCGGACUGAGGCAGCCACUCGUUUAACUUUCUUCCCACCAUAGAGUGGUUUAACCAAUUUUAGAAUUUUAUGUAAACAGUGAUUCCUGAUUCUUUAUAUGAAAGGCUUUCUUGCAUGUUGUUUCUUUUCUUUCUUCUCAGUUUUCUUAGUUUCCUUUUCUCUAUUUUCCAACCCUUCUGUUAAGUAUUUCAUGUCUGCUAUUACAAUUUUUCGUUUCCAAGGGUUCUUUUUUGUCCUCUGAGUAUCCCUUUUUAGUGUUCUAUUCUUAUGUGGUAGUUGCAGUAGCUUCUCUUCUCUCUUUGAGCAUUUUCAUGAUAGACGGUAUUUUUUCUGGGGGCUGGCGGUGGUUCCUCUCACCACGUGGUGUCCAUUUCUCCCAAGAAGGCUUCGUUUCCCAGGGUGGCCCCUGCCUUCCCCUGCGGAGGUGGGGGGCCGGUGGCCUGUGCAGGGAGCCAGAGCAAGGGGCUGCAGGGGUCUCUUUCUUCUGUGGCUCCUGCUUCUCCCCUGCCUCCAGAGCUCCCUGCGCCAUGAUUCCCAAGCCUUUCAGGGAUUCCUCGGGAGCUGGGAGCGGGCCGGCUUCCUCCCCUCCAGGUCAGGCCCAGCGGCCCAUGGCUGCUGUCUGCGCUGACUCUGUCAUCUUCAACCGCGUAGCUCUCACCUUAAACAAGAAAAACAUCCCUUCCUGUGGUUUUUAGUGGGAUUCCAUCUGUGAUUUUUGUGUUGGAGCCUCUCCACUGGGCAGGGGCCUGAUGGUCAGUAUUCAGAGACGUUCCUCCCCGUGUGCGUGGUGCCCACUCGGCCCCUCGCAUGCUGAUGCACGCUUCAUGAAGGAGCAGCCUGGGAGGUCAGAACUAGCACAGGGAAGGUAAGUGUCUUGGCUGAGGUCACACAGCCUGGCAGGCGACAGAGCAGAAGUCACAGCAGACGGCGGGCGUGUGAGGAGGGGGGCCACCUGCUGACAAGCUCAUGUCUGCAUGUUGGAUCCGGGUGCUGGUACGCCCAGUGCCACGUGGGGGUGGCUGUGCUGGGCCCUCAGCGGGCUGGGAGGGUGGGGAAGGCAGCGAUGCCUGCUGGAGGGGCUGGGUCCCUGCUGGUGGCGAUGCACCUUCCCUGCCCUGGUGAGUGGGUCUGAAAGCUGCUCUGGCCAGCGCGUUCGCCUUUCAGGGUUUGCCCGUGCACCCUGUCCACCACUCCAGCAGCACGUCCCCAAGGCGCUGAGACCUACAGCUGGCACUGCCCUAUCCUGCCUGUGUCACUUUGGGCAGUUACUUGACCUCUCUGGGCCUCGCUCUCUGCUGUGAAAAGGGGUGAUGUCGGCACCUCCUCGAGGCUGGCUUGGAGGGUCAGGUGAGGUAGCUCACCCGCCUCUCGUGGCCACUGGUGUCUACAUUGGUGGCAGCAGGCAGCAGGCAUCUCGUCCACUUGAAAACCUUGAUGAAAGACGUGAACACAUGAAUAAAUACAGGAGAGUUUUAUUUUGACUUGGGAUCUGUGUCCAGAGGAAGGGACAAAGGAAAUGAAAACUAGGAAGUUUGGAGGCACGCUUUCACUUGCUGUCGUGCUCAAGGACAGGGCUGUUUUGCAUGGUGUCUCCCGGGCAGCGCUGGGGACAGUGUCAGCAGGGAGGGGUACCUCGCUGUGUCCCCUGGAAGGGAGCUCAGCCCUCAGGGGCUCGCUGCAUGGUUGGGAUUGGAUGGCCGUGUAAGCCCUGGAGCCUGUGUGCUCAUUUUUCCUCUCCUGCCAGAUCAUGAGCCUCUGGAGGGCAGGGGCAUCGUCUCUCGCAAACCCCUAGGCCUUGGGGAAUCUGUUAGAAGAACCAGGAAGGCUGCCCGAGGACCAAGGUGGGAUGUAAACCUUUCCCUCCAACUCAGGCCUGAGAACAUCGCCCCUUGCCAGGCACUUUGCCCUUGGUGCUCACUCUGGCACUCUUGGCUGUUUCAGUCCCACCCAGUCCGUGCUGCCCCGAACUCUCCUGGUCCCUCUUCCAGUUGGAAGUGUGAUGCUUAGCUUUUCUUGAUUGUAGUUCAUUUCCAGCUGGAAUUCUCCUAGUGAGAAGAAUGUUUGAGAAGAUGAUGUGCCAUUCCUCUAAGCACAUCAUAGCCUCUGACUGUGUGAAGGCCCCGGGACGCUUGGCAGCCGGCCCCCACCUCCUUUUGUAACCCUGCUGCCCGCUCCUGACUUCCACUCCCUUAACCAUCGGGGGUCUCUGUCUGACGGUGAACUCUGUCUGCAGACUGGAGAGCUCUGUCCCGAGUGGAUCCGGAAGCUUCGACCCUCCUGUGCUUUGUGGUGUGUUUUCGCAAGCAUUGUAGCUUGGUUUAGGGGUCUCGGCCUGCUCUCCUCUUGCUUAGUAGCCUCCAGCUGGGCCAGGGACCCCCUUGUCUCCUCGGAGCCUAACUGAGACACACGGCCCUGUGUUUCCGCAGAUGCCCCCAGCUGUCAACCCCGGCCAGUGAGCGCCUCUGCAGAGGGGUGCUGGCAGGGUGCUGUGGUGGGGGGCCGUGGGCAAGAGGCUGGGUGCUAGAGGCCUUAAUUGGCCCUGAAGAUGGAGGUUGCCUUGAACAGUGUGUCCAGGGCUGCGCGCACGAGACCUGCACAUGUAGCAGCCCCCGGGGCCCUCUCUGGUGUCCUCCUGGGGGGUGAAAGCUGGGCUGGGCAGGGGCCACUCCCCACCCACAGGGCCCAGCCCAAACAGCUUUCUCAGCCGGCACCUGUGGGUCUAGUUUUUAUGUAAGUCUGAGAACAUCACCCCUCUUAAUAGUGUGGGGAGUGAAUGUGGAGUUAAUUUGUCCAUUCUAGUGAGAUAGGGCUGUGGCAUGUGCGAAACAUUUGGGGGAAAUUUUAUUGUUGAACAUUUAUUUUCCUUUGAUGAGUAAGUGGACGACUUUAUUUGGAACUUGAAGGCUGAGAUACAUAAUGCCGGUACUUACACUUUUAUUUGCUAUUAGUCAAAUAAUGCCACUGUUUGAAUUUUUAUGAAACCAGAGCUAAUUUGUUUGAGGGGUGGUGGGAGUGGUGCAGACAGCGCCCUUCCCUUGCCCCUCGCCGGUGGGUGAGGGGUGUGUGGGCGGCCCCCCGCCGGAAGUGGGCACCGCGGCUGCCCUGCGUGGGCGGGCCCUGGGCCGGCAGUUUCUGGGUGUGUGUGGCCUUCGGGGAGCUUUUGUACCCGGCACCCCGUGCUCCUCCCUGCCGAUGGGGCCGGCUGCCGUGGGGGGCGCAGGCUUGGUUUCUGCGAGUGUCGUCAGGGCUGCAGGGUGCAGGCCGCAGAGGCCGCCUCGUCCCCUCUUGCCUUCUGACAGGCUCGGGGACUUUUGAGUCUAAAGUGAAACUUGAAACCGUGAGCUAUGGGCUUGUUUUGUCUUUGAUUGGGAAAUUCAAAACUUGAUUCAGGUUGUGAACUUGGGCCAAGUUUUAAGGAUUCCCACAGUUUUCCCCACCUGUUCUCCUCUCCCCAAACCAACAAUAAAAGUCUCCUGUUUUUCCUAAUUCUCCACCUGACUCUUUUCUGACUUGUACUCUCUAGUUUUCCAGUAGCAGGUCAUGGGACUCUUUGCUCCAUUAUGUGGCAUUCACUAUUUAAAAUGUGCUUUUUACGUGUGGGUCUCUGAUUAUAUUCCUUACCACAUACAGGAAUCAUUUAAUUAAAUUAAACAGGGUCAAGAAAAAUUUUAAGAAUUUAAGGCACCCAUUUUCUUUUUUUCCUGCUACAAUUAACAUCAGUGGGGAAAAAAAUAGACGUAAACAGACAAAAGGCAAAUGGGUGGGCGGGGAGAGCUUUGUGGAACUUCUUUAGAUGUGUCUUAGUUCCUUCCUGUCCUAUCCUCUGUGACUCCUAACUGCUUUUCAUAUUUUACAUUGAUUUUUUUCCUUUGCUUCUCUCUGUGUAAUUUCCUGAGCUUGGUCGUCAGGGCGCUGAAUUUCUCUUUGGGGGUGCCAAGAGUCUGUGGCAUUUCCAUUCCGUUGCAGUGAGCAUCUUUUUCUAUUUUUUAAUUUCUGGAAGUUUGUUUUGGUUCUCUUUCAGGUCUCCCCUGCUCCUGCACGAUGGUUAGCAUUCCUUUUAUCUCUUUAAUAAUUCCAGGGGUGCUUUUUUACUGUUUCUUUUAGGUUUUUCUAUUAUCUCAAGUUCUUGGGCUUCUAAUCCUUUUGUUACAAACUGCACGUUCUCUCUCAUGUGGAUGCUUCGCUUGUGUUAGUAAUGAGCUCGUUUCCAGCAGGACUGAGCUUCCCUCUGUGGCCCGUGGAGUGUCCCGCAGUGCAGUCUUGUGUUGCUUCUCCAGGGCACCCCAGGAUUACUGUCUGGACCAGGCUAGGUGCUCAUUUCUCGUCUCGGCCUUCUCCCACUAAACAGUUUGGUUGAGAUAUAAUCCACACUUGCUGCCGCUCACCCACGCCAAGUGUACAGUUCAGCGGCUUGUGCUGCCAUCGGCACAGUCGGCUUCCGACGGUUUUCAUCACCUCACAGAGGAGCCCCUAGAGCCACCCCCCGGCCCGAGGCUGAGCUGACUGACUCCGUCUUCACACAGUUGCCUGUUCUGGGCAUUGCGUGAGAACAGAAUUGUACAACAUGUGGUCCUCUGUGAAUGGCUGCUUCUGCUCAGCAUAAUGUUUUCAGAGUUCUCCCAUGUGUGUCAUGUGCCAGUACUUCAUUUCCUUUUACGGCUGAAGAAGGUUCCACUGAUGGACAUGUGGAUUGUUUCCCCUUUUCGGCUGUUACGAGUAAUGCUGCCGAGAAACUCAGACAUUUGAUUCUUCCUUGAUUGGAAUGGAGAUGCAUAUGGAAGAACCCGCAGUUUAAUGUGGAGAAGUGGAGUCUUCCCACAUGGCUUGUCUCCAGAACUGGUGCUUGUCAUAUGUGUAAAGAAGCCAUGAAAAGGGAAACCCCUCUGCCCGUGUCAACUGGGUUUUUCUUUGUUAGUUUUGAAGGUUGAAGAUCCAAUUUUGUUCAGAGCUCAGUUUGUGAUAUUUAUGAACGAACAUGGAAUUGUGUUUGGACCAAUAGAAGGCACUCGUGUAGAGUGCUCGAACAGCAGUGUGUUUCCACAUGGUUUAUUCCAUUAUUUUGGGCACCUUUCAUGAAAUUUUUGCUAUUUUAAUAAAAAAGCUUACUACACAGCAUAACUUGGAA